rnacentral:rRNA from 1 species
UACGAAGGGGGCUAGCGUUGUUCGGAUUUACUGGGCGUAAAGCGCACGUAGGCGGAUCGUUAAGUCGGGGGGUGAAAUCCUGGAGCUCAACUCCAGAACUGCCUUCGAUACUGGCGAUCUUGAGUCCGGAAGAGGUGAGUGGAACUCCUAGUGUAGAGGUGGAAUUCGUAGAUAUUAGGAAGAACACCAGUGGCGAAGGCGGCUCACUGGUCCGGUACUGACGCUGAGGAGCGAAAGCGUGGGGAGCGAACAGG